UGACAAUGGAGACACGACAACCCAAAAGCUAUGGGAUGCAGCCAGGAUGAUUCCAGGGGCCUUUGGAGCCUGAAAUUUCCAACCUCUCACAAUGAUUCCUACAACAGUGAGUACUGGCUUCAGAGAAGCCCACAAGAGACUGGCUUGGAGAAAGCAGGACCACCCUGCCCCUUGGGGAAAGUGAAGGGAAGCGGGGGUCAUUCUGUCAUGGAUUUUCCUCACUCAGGUCCAGCCUGUCAGAGGGUCAAGUGUAGCCUCGGGUCUGGGCAUCUGGUUCUCCCACCAUCCUCCUCCUCGGGGGGUUGGUGGUCCCUAGGAGAGAGACUCAGUUAAGGAACUGCUGUGAUACUGGCUAGUUCCAGCCUCAGGACACUCACAGUGACAGGUGGCUUCUGAGGACUAAAAUCCUAACUGUUCCCUGCACCCUGUCCUGCCCAGGGUGCAGCUCCAGGCCCUGGGUCCCAGCUCCUAUGCAAUGUGAAGCUGACAACACCUGGUGGGAGUCCUGGGGUCUUAGGAGUGGAGGCUUCAGAGCCAGGGGACACAGCUGAGGAAUCGUCCACCUCCAAACAAUUCCUCAGCCCUUCAACAAAGACGAAGACUUUCUAUUUCCACGUGGCCAAUAAAGGGUCCUCUCUGACCAUCCCUGCCAACCAGAAGCCGUGGUAGCUGGCCCAGUCACCCCCAGAAGACACAGCUGGACAUUUGGGGCUGCAUCGGUCUGAAGUGUUCUUGGGGGCAAGGUGUGAGGACCAUAUGGACAGGUGAAGCAAUAAAGAAUCAACAGUCCCCAGCAUAGAGGCACAGUGGCCUUCCUCCCUCCUGCGUUGGAGCCCACAGUGAUGCACAGACACCUGUAGCCCCGACCUAAACCCUGCAGCUGUCACACCCUGUCUCCUCUUCGUUUGCUGCUCUCGUGAGUUGUAAUGACAAGCUGGUUCAUGUUGCAUUGUGUCUUCCAUCCUGGGGAGCGUUUCGUAGCUUUGCACACAUCCCCAGGCCCCAAGCUGAUGAAUAAGGGCUGAAAACACACUCUGAUGCCAUCACGGGUAAUGGAGCAAAUGUCAAACAAGGUCUGUGGGUCCUGAGUUGAAGCAGUGGGACCUGGUCUAGAGCAAGCUCCCACUUGGACUUUGUAUGGAAAUAGGUGGCAGGGCUGCUGAAAAGACCCAUGGAA